UGGGUCCUCCUCCCCUGCCUCGGUCCCAAGAAACCCAGUGGCCGCGUGACUGGCGGCCACCCCAACCUGCAGCCCUCCUCGCGGUCCCCGAGCCAAGCUGGAAUUGGUUAGACCGCCAGCUCCGGCACGGAGACCACACAGGCGCCGCCGGAGGGCAAGGCUGACCACCGCGCUGCGACUUUGUUGAGCUACAGACUCCCCAGGCCCAAAAGCUCCAGCUCCAGGGAUCCCUGGAGUCUCAUCUCCUCCCGUCUCAGCAUGCAGCGAUGCUCCGGUAUUUCCAAGUCCAAGGGUGUCUUCUCCCGACCCUUAGGCAGCCGCACAGCAGCGGUUUACCCCUGGGGACUAAAGACAUAAAGGCACUAAGCAGAGUAAACUGACCAGCAAACUACGGAUGAAAGGAAAACCUCCAGGCAAUCCCCGCAUCCGACAGGAAACCUCAGAAAUGGACCUGGGAAAUGGAGUGCGGCCCUGGAGUCUGGAAUUUACCAAAAAGGAGGAAAAACGACGUUGGAAAAGAAGGGAAAACAGGCCUGCUUCAGAUGAAAGCACAUCUUGCGAGGAAAGCAACAUGCUAAUUAGAAACUCUUCCUUAAAGUGGAAGGUCGGGGUAGUUAUGUCCAGGGUUAGUUCUGUUCAGGGUUACUUCUCCAGAAUUUGAGUCGUAGUCCGUUCUCUCUCUGUUUGCCUCUGUCUCCCUCUGUGUCUCUCUAUCUCUGCCAGUUAAAACGAAGUUGGCCGCCCAUAGCCAACCAUCGAUGCAAGAUAUGAAAGAAAUCAAGCCGGGCCAGAGAAAACGAAAGUAGCUCCGGACCUUGGGUCUCUGCGUUUUCUCUAGCGGAUCCAUAAGGGAGCCCUCCCGCCAUAAGAGUUUACAUAUUGUGUGAGGUUUUAAACAUGCGUAUUUAACUUACAUACCAAAAAGUUAGCAACCACUAAACUGAUUGUGCCUAGGCGCUAACAACACGAGGCACCCAGCUUCUCAGCGGCCAUUUCCCUGAGUGGCAAAAAGGCCUCAAAAAAGCAAGUUCAUUGGGCCUAAAAAUUGCGUCUAGAGGUUUAGGGCGUAUAAUUAUGGUUUUCAGUCCUCAAACGCUGUUUGGAGGCUGCUCGGAAAGGGCGAUAAGGGAUCAGCCUGAAAUGUUUCUUUUUCAAUUGCCAAAUAUGGAUGUGUCUCAUUUCUGGAUCUUCCAAGAGUAGAUAUUUAUAACAGCCUUUCUAGGAAGAACACCUUCAAGUGAGCACAAUUUCCUACACCCAGACACAAACAUACAUAUUGAUUAAAAAAAUAAAACUAUUUGAAUAAAGUGAUAAUAUU